CACAUCAUAUUAUGCUGAUAUAUAAUAAUAAAAUUAAUUAUGAUACCGACUUUAAAAAAUAGGGAUUUAGAAAAUUUGAGAAAGAGAAGCAAUUAAAGAUAUUUGUUGAUAUCACCUGCUGUCGACAGUCUGAUAUUCUCAACAAUGGAAAAUUUGCGAAAAUAAAUCGGCUACUCAGUUUGGUCGGCUGGACGUAAAAAUUUGACAGCUCCAAAUUUUGCUGAUGGCGACGAAAGCAACUCAAGCAACGAUAAAUAGACAACUCUGAUAAUUUGAACACCAAGAUGCUAGGAAUUUUUCGGACGUAAAACUAGUUAGUUCCGGUCCUGUCCGUUUCCUCUGCCGAUUUACACUUCUUUUUAUGUCAUAGAACAAUUUGUCGAGAUCUAGAACUGGUUUGUCUUUGCAACGAGCCCUUCAAUCGCCACGGUACGUAAUACUCGAUGAAGCCGAAAGUAUUUUACGAGAAUACAGGAGGCAAUUCGUUAGGCGAAUAUUUUACAAGUUGGCACAAGGUAAUUCGUUAUGCGAGAAAAAAUAAAAAUUGUGAAAUAAAGUUUCUCAUACGAGGCUUAGUUUUGCAAAAGAGUCGAAAUUAUAUCUCGUACGAAUUUACACAGCUAACAAUAAGAUACGAUAUAUGUACAUAUAAGAAUAAGAUUCGCGGAACGAUGAUGCUAUAUGUAACGUCUAUUGUCUUUCUAUUUUAUCGAUCGAGAAAAGUACAAACGAGAGAUUUUACCAACGAUACCGUAUAUUUUAUGAACGAAACGCUUAUUUCAGCUACGUGUAUGCUGUUUCAGAGAUCCAUCGUUCCACUCUUUUCGCAUCUGAGAGCAUUCCCUUGUAUUAUCGAGGCAAUUACUCUCUUGAAGUGGUUGAACGUUUCUGAAAAUUAUUUUGUCGAUACGAGCCUAAACGUAACAGCCCCAUCAGCAAUUCUACGCAUCCAGCAAGAAAACAAAAGAGCACGAUAAAAUCCACUGGCAUGUUUUUGGUAUAUUCGAAGGUUCCCAUCGGAAUUAUAACAACACGUAACUAAGAAAAAGGUAACAAAAGCGAGAAAUCAAAAUCGAACGAUUCGAGCGAGUGAAAGCUGAGUAUCGAUAAUAUGAAAACCUUAUAGAUCUUUUGCUUCUAAGAAUCUGAAGAUUGGAAUCACGACAGCCAUAGAAAAGUGCGAGAGAAGUGUUCGAAUACUUCGGUAUUGAUGAACGAAUCAUCGUCGGUGGAACGAACAAGAUAACAUAAAUAAUAGUAAAUAUUAGUAAACAACAAUAUAUUCAAGCAAUGGCGCGAUAUGAUAAUUCGAUAGGGGUGAGAACGAAGAAAAUUUCUCGAUCGACCAAGUAAGGAGUAAAGAGUAAAGAUAUACCUG